rnacentral:snoRNA from 1 species
ACAGACUGAAAAUGGCCCCUGGUGCAUCAGUCACCUGGGAUCAGAUAACUGUGCCAAUAUUAAACUGGUGCAUUAAUGCUUAUCGCGCUUGUUAUUUGUGGCAGCGUGAUAAAACCCAUGUACCAACAAAU